rnacentral:piRNA from 1 species
UAAACUGACAAUCUACAACAGUUCUGUGAC